GUUAAGCUAUCACAUAAUCCAGCCAUCACUCUUCUAUGCAGGCAGAGAGGAGGGAGAGAGAAGGAUCAAACCCACGAAGCCUGUCUCUUGUGUUUUUUGCUGUUGUUACUGUUGCCACAGAAGAGAAGCAUGAAGAGAACAGUGUCUUCACAGUCUACUGACCUUGCCCUGAACUGAAGGCUCUGCUCCCACAGACUCUGGAGUGUGGCUCUGCUAAAGCAACCAUCUCUUCCCAUCAGAGUUACGAGAUGCUUCCCAGGAAGGCUGGUGGAGCAGUUUCAUUUCAAUGAUGUCAUCUAAAGCACAUUAAUGGAUCUUCAGCACAAACCAAAAUUAUUGUGAGCAUUACCACCUAAUUGC